rnacentral:pre_miRNA from 1 species
UAUUAAAAAAUUUAUCCACUUAUUGUGUUAAAAAUUAGUAACUGAUAGAAUAAAUUAAACAGUGAUAUGUAACAUGUGAUGUGUACCUUAUGCUGAUAUAUAUCAACCAAUUUUUAAUUAUAUAAAUGGAUAGAAUUUUUAAUC